UACGUAGGGUGCAAGCGUUGUCCGGAAUUAUUGGGCGUAAAGAGCUCGUAGGCGGUUUGUCGCGUCGGCUGUGAAAACUCGGGGCUCAACCCCGAGCCUGCAGUCGAUACGGGCAAACUAGAGUGUGGUAGGGGAGACUGGAAUUCCUGGUGUAGCGGUGAAAUGCGCAGAUAUCAGGAGGAACACCGGUGGCGAAGGCGGGUCUCUGGGCCGAAACUGACGCUGAGGAGCGAAAGCGUGGGGAGCAAACAGG
rnacentral:rRNA from 1 species